UGAAGAUUGGCGGGAGAUGCCCAUUCUUAAGAUGGGAGCCGAAGGAGUAAGCACGGAAAAGCCCGUUAAGUGAAACUCUCAGGCAAAAGGACCGCAAUCGGACA
rnacentral:ncRNA from 2 species